AUGAGUGACAGAAAUUGCCCAAUAAUGAGUUGGAACGUGCGGGGCUUGAACUCGCCGGCCCGGCGAGAAGUAGUUUUGGAGACGGCGGAGGCGCAUAAACUAGCCAUCCUCUGCCUGCAGGAAACGAAGAUCGGCGAAUGGAGCAGGGCACUAGUUAGGGAAACUGGAGGAGCGCGGCUCGCUGACUGCGUCGUCCUCCCUGCCACGGGCACGAGGGGAGGCGUCGCAAUCUUCUAG
rnacentral:rRNA from 1 species